AUUGAACGCUGGCGGCAGGCCUAACACAUGCAAGUCGAACGAGUGGCGGACGGGUGAGUAAUGUCUGGGAAACUGCCUGAUGGAGGGGGAUAACUACUGGAAACGGUAGCUUAUACCGCAAACCAGCGGGAGUGCCCAGAUGGGAUGAGCUAGUAGGUGGGGUAAUGGCUCACCUACGCGACGAUCCCUCGCUGGUCUGAGAUGAUGACCAGCCACACUGGAACUGAGACACGGUCCAGACUCCGACGGUAGGCAGCAGUGGGGAAUAUUGCACAAUGGGCGCAAGCCUGAUACAGCCAUGCCGCGUGUAUGAAGAAGGCCUUCGGGUUGUAAAGUACUUUCAGCGGGGAGGCGUUACCCGCAGAAGAAGCACCGGCUAACUCCGUGCCAGCAGCCGCGGUAAUAC
rnacentral:rRNA from 1 species